rnacentral:lncRNA from 1 species
GUUGGUGGUUUUAUAUUUGAUACAAAAUCAUGUAAACCUUAGCUUUAAUUUUCUCGACUUAAACAACGUUUAUUUUUAAAAUGGGUCGUUUUUUGAGCCAUUUAAAUCACUCACAUCAGUUUCCUACCUGGUUAACCAGGAAUCUGGUUAUAUAUUCCACCUGCAGGAUGCCAUUGUUAAAACAACCAGAGUAUGUGAGGUGGGUAACUAACAGCCAGACACCCCUACAGGUUAUUUAUCCACCUCACAUAUUUUGGGCAGUAAGUUC